rnacentral:rRNA from 1 species
AUACGGAAGGUCCGGGCGUUAUCCGGAUUUAUUGGGUUUAAAGGGAGCGCAGGCCGGUGUGUAAGCGUGACGUCAAAUACAGCCGCUCAACGGUUGUCCGCGUCGCGAACUGCAUGCCUUGAGUACGCUGCAAGUGGGCGGAAUUCGUGGUGUAGCGGUGAAAUGCUUAGAUAUCACGAAGAACUCCGAUUGCGAAGGCAGCCCGCUGUUGCGUCACUGACGCUGAGGCUCGAAGGUGCGGGUAUCGAACAGGAUUAGAUACCCUGGUAGUCCGCACUGUAAACGAUGGACACCCGCUGUGUGGCCUUUUUUGGUUGCGCGGCCAAGCGAAAGCAUUAAGUGUCCCACCUGGGGAGUACGCCGGCAACGGUGAAACUCAAAUGAAUUGACGGGG